GUGAUGAGGUACAUUUAAGUACCAGUAGACAUGUAUUUGUUGAUGUGAUUGAUUACUCAAAUACCAUCAUAACUGUGCUUUUCUUCCAUCAUGUGUUGUAGGUUAUUGAUGCAUUUUUGAGCUGUAUAGUUGAGAAAGCAGAUGGAAAGAGUGAAUUACUUCAAAAUGAUAUAUUACUGCUUCCUUACCACACACCAGGUCAUUGGGUUCUUGCGAUAGCCUUGAUGAAAAAAAAGGAAUUGUUAAUAAUUGACCCCUUGUGUGAUGAGAUCAGAUAUGAAAGAACAUGCCUGAGGAAUUGGAGGUGAUUUAUUAGAUACUUACUUUCACAGUGGACACUAACUGUUCCAUUGAAAUUGUUUUUAAAGGGAAUGUUACAAUAAUGAGAAUAAUGUCUUCCUAUUAGCUACAAAUAAACAUUGAAACAGCAUAUACUUGUACUGAAUG
rnacentral:lncRNA from 1 species